rnacentral:lncRNA from 1 species
GAGUCACUGUUAGGCCCGGUCUGAAAAGUUGUCGCUAAAUAAGACAAUUCAGUGAAAACGGGUUAACAUUAGUAACAUAUUGAACUAGAAUUAAUUUACCCUCGGCUGGGAAUUCUUCAAACUCAUCGUCCUCCUCUAAUAAUCCCAAAUCUACAGUCUGUUUCUUGUCAGACAUGUUAACUGCCUUUCCGUUGCGCGGGUCUAUCGUGAACAAAUGGACUUCCAGCGAGAGGGUUUCUGGGAUAGUGGAGGUUCAAGAGAAGUCUGCUUGCUCAUGGGCAGUGCUCUGCCAACAGAAUCCCACGUCACACGAUGCUCCUGAUUCUGCACGAAGGAGGUCGUCCCUCAGCAUGGGGCCCAGUGAAGGGGUGACAAGCUGCUUGGCUCUAAUACUUUCUUCUACCCUCUACCAUGCUACCCUCCUACCUGUCAUUUGUCAUCGCAGGGGAAAAAUAAGGAUGAAUGACACAACAUGCUUCAGGUGGCUCUGCCCAGCGUUCCUCACUCUGUUGCACCCACCUCCCUCUCACCAUUGCCUCAGGCCCUGGCCUCUAAUGUACUCCUCUGGGACCCCAGCAGAGUCCAGAGGCCCAGAGACCAAAGAACCAGGCCUGCCUGCUGCUCCACUCUUCAUGCUCACUUGAAUUGAAUAUCUGAGAAAAACCUGUGGCCCUCUCUACCAUUCCCCCCACCCCACCCCCUUCUUUCCCUCUCCAUCUUCUUUGGUGACUGUGCUAUUUUUGGCUCUCCUCUGGACAUAUGUCAUUGAGGAGUGCGUGCAGUGGCUGGAUAAUUAAGGCUACCUCAAAGCGGGCAUAAAAAAUUGGGAGAUAUUUAUUAGGCAGUACAUUAGCUGCUUGUCGUGAGUGCGUGUCAGGCCUGUAAAACAAAGUUUGAUUGAGAAAGUCAGAAAAUGUGGUAGUGUAACUACUGUUGUUGCCGUUGGUACUCCAGCAGAGACGUGGAAAUCAUUCAC